UAACUCCCUUAAAAUCUCACAUACAACAUCUCUUGUUAUUCCAACAUCCAUAGAAACAAAACCAUAAACACAAACACAUUCUCUCCUUUUCACCUCACCUUUCAUGUAUUUUUCUAUAUAAACACAAACACAUUCUCUCCUUUUCACCUCACCUUUCAUGUAUUUUUCAACUUGCCCGCCAUUAAAAAGAAAAGAGUGUACCGUAUUUUGAGACAUUACAUACAAAGGUGGUGGAUAAAUAUAUAUCAAUCUAAUUCGGAUUUAUUUCUGCAAGAUAUUUACAAUAAUCUUAUUCAAAUGACUCCAUACGUAAAUCGUUGUUAAGGAAGAUCUUAAUAAGUAUGAUUGGAGAGAGACCAACCACCUAAAUCCGAUUAGAAAUCAAAUGAGAGGAAACCGAUAUAUUUAGCCGUAUCUAAGGAUAACCGCCAGCCGAUUCAUAAAUCUUACUCUUUUUUAGUGAGAAAGACAAAGUGCUGCACAAACAACUACAACUGGCAAUUAGGAAUGGCGUAUAUUCUGGUCCUAAAGAUGCAACCGUUUUUGUACUCCCGCUAAGCAACUAAGAGACAGUGUUGUAAUAGUAGGAUACGGACAAGAACGAAAGAAUAAUCAAUUGAAGAACUAUUGGUUGAUAAGAAAUUGUCACGGACAAAAAUAGGGUAACAAAGGUUAUGAAAAAAUUGACACAGCGCCCUGGAAGACUCUUGGUCGAGUGCGCUUGUAUGAUUUCGGACGUGUAUUUCAACUGUGUCUCUUCUUAUUUCUCUAGGUUGUUGUUUUGCUUUUGCGUGGUGUAUUAGAGACAUUACACCACAAAGAAAAUGGUGGACGUCAGAUUAUCUUAUCUCCUCAAGAUAUUUAUAAUAACCUUAUCAAAACUAAAAAAGAAAACAAGGAUGCUCUCUGUUUACCACAGUGGAUUGGGUUAGAUGUGUGUUAGAGAAGGAACAUUUAAGCUCGCUACUCUUGAGCACAAGGCUGAUAUAUUUAACCGUAUCUAAGGAUGUAUCGUUCAGUGAGAAAGACAAAGUGAUGCACAAACAACUACAACUCGCAAUUAGGAAUGGCCCUGCACAAAUGCUAUGGAUAGAUGAGAUGAAUCAUCUGAACAUGACUUAAUUUAAUUUUACUAUAAUCGUAGAAUGGCGUAUAUUCUGAUCCAAAUGUAACAGUAGGAUACAGACAAGAACGAAAGAAUAAUCAAUUGAAGAACUAUUGGUUGAUAAUAAAUUCUCACGAACAAACAUAGGGUGACAAAGGUUAUGGAAAAAUUGACACAGCACCCUAUCAUGGAACAUAUGAGAAACCAAACGGUGAAUCAUAUUGAACGUCAUUAUUAGUCAGUAUACCACGUCAUAUCAAAUUUAGAAAAUUGAAUUGGUCUAUUUUAACUUGUUAACUGCUGUUAUUGUUCUAGUAUGCACUAUUGUUUAGCAUUCUUUGUUGUUGCUUUGGUGUCUUGAAGCACAACAAGAUUUUAUCCGUUAGUGUCAAUUAUUAGGUGGUCUGUGACUUUAAUUUGUUGCUCUUCAGGGUGUUAAUAGAUUUUAUGUUACACAAUUUCAACUGCUUUCAGAUUAAUAGAUUUUAUGUUACUGAA